rnacentral:rRNA from 1 species
AUGGAAGUCAUCACCUUCCAUGGAAGUCCUUGCGGACGGGCACACGGCCCGUUAAGAAAAGGCAAGGCGACACGCUCCCAUGGCCGCCACUACGGCAAGCACGCCGACGCGGACCGCGUGCAGCCUCUCGCUCCCGCACGAUGCAACUCCGUGCGCCUCGUUCCUAGCUUGCUUGCCUCAGGCCUCCGGCUGCUGCCUCUCAGUCCUAGCUCCACUGCUCCUCGAGCAGGACGCCGUCUUGCUCGGCCAUUGCGUCGGGCAGCCGCUCUGGCCGGCCGCUGUUCCGUCUGGCCGCUGCUCCUGUCCAGCGGCUGCCCUGCUUGGCCGCUGCUCCGUGCCGUCUCGCCCGGCCGCCCCACCCUUGUCUGGCCAGCCCCGCCCGGCCCUUCCAUCAUCUGGCUGAGGCGGGCGCUGCCCGCCCGGUGCUACUCUUCCGGCCGCUGCGGGAGCUCUGCGGGCUCUCGAUCCCUCUUGGAUCGAUCCUCCCGCGAGCGAGCGCUCCCUCCAGCGAGUGCGUGGGGCCAUCCCACGCUCGGGCGCUUGAUCCAGAUCCAUCGACCGGUUGUCCCCCGGUGCUCGGUGAUCUUUGAUGGCACCAACUAUGCUGAGUUUGCGGGCUUCAUGCGUAUCCAUAUGCGCGGUCUUCUGCUGUGGGGCAUUCUCUCUGGCGAGGUGCCCUGUCCGCCCCGCCCUGUUGCUCCGGUAGCUCCUAUCACGCCAAUCCAGCCGGUGCUUGCUGCUCAUGCUUCUCAGGCUGAUCGGGAUGCAGCCAAGGCUCUUGAUGAUGCUGCAGUUGACGCUUAUGAUCACCAGUGGUGCAAUGAUUAUGCUCGAGCUGCUGCUGUUCUCACUGCGAGUGUCCUCCCUCAGUUUGCUUUGGAGUUCAUGGGCCUCGGCACUGUUGCAGCAAUGUGGUCCUAUAUUUGUCAGCGCUAUCAGCCCUCUGGCAAUGCUCUAUACCUCUCUGUGGUGUGUCAGGAGCAUGCUCUUCAGCAGGGUGACUCGUCUGUUGAUGAGUUCUAUUCACAGUGCUCUGCUAUCUGGCGUCAACUUGAAUCACUGCGGAUAGUUAGAGUUCAUGAGUUCUUAUCUCGUCUCCGCUCUGAGUUUGAGCCUCGCCGUGCCCACUUGCUUGCUCGUGGUCGUGUUCCUCUCCCGGAGGUGCUUGCCGAGCUUCGUGCUGAGGAGACCCGCCUUCUCUCUGUAGGGUUGCUAGUGGUUCCAUCUGUGUUGGCUGCUCGGGCUCCAGUGUCGUCUGCUUGGCUCACUGCUCCACUGCUUCUCCCUACACCUUCAGGGGGGGGGGUCGCUCUCCUUAUGCUGAGAAGGGCCGGUCGCGCUGUGAGACCUUCUGUGGCUACUGCUCUCAGCCAGGUCACCCAGAGUCUAAUUGCCGUGAGAAGAAGCGAGACCAGAGGCGCUCCUCUCCCAAUCUCUCCUCAUGGCAUGCAAUAUCUCCCCGAUCCUUUCCUUGGCAACACCAUCAAUUGCCUGAGCUUUCCCCGCGAUCCCAGAUCGGAAGACGCCGAUCUUCUCCUUUUCCAUGUCGAACUGCCUUCUCGCUUUCCUCCUUCACAGCCAUGCCUCGCGGAUCCUCAACAGAUCCACUACCGGCUCCGGAUCUCUCUCACUCUCGAUAUCUCUAAACUCUUUUCUCCAUUCGCCGGGGUUGUCCGCCGGCGGUCCGGCCCCUCGGGUCGUCGGGCGUCGCCCUCCUGUCGCCUCGACAAGGGCUCCAUAAUUUUCGGGCGUCAUCCUCUAGAAUCGCCGAUCAGUAACACUUCUGGUCGUACGUGGUCGUGGCUACAUUCCCUUCCGCGACCUGUAUAUCUUCUGGGUUUUGUUCUGGGAAACAAUGCGUAUCAAGUAACGAGUACAACGCGCUUUCAACGAGCAUCAAUCAUCAAACACCACUGGGCUAGUAUUUUUCUGAAGCCCAUGAAAGCCCACACCAUCGUAUCUCUUUUUCUAAAUAUACAACAACAACAAUCACAUGUACUCCCCGGCGGAUUCUCAAAAAAAAAAUGUACUCCCCGACGAAGUGCCUCGAGCGCCUGCGGUGAAAAACUGCAGCCACCGGCCACCACCACCGGCGAUGAAACUCCGACAACACGGCGGCAUAUUCCGCCGGUGCUCCACUGUCCUCACCACCGCAGAUGCGUCCGGUGGGCCUCGCCUGGAUCCCCGAGCAUGUCACCAGAGAAUGGUUCCCCAAUCCACAUCCCAGACCCCAGCCGCCACCCCACCCCGCCGUCGUUCUCGCUCACAGCCGCCGCCCCCACCCCGCCGUCGUUCUCGCCCACGGCGGCCGCCCCCACCCCGCCGCCGUCCUCGCCCACGGCGGCCGCACCACCCGGCCGCCGACCUCGCCCACGUCGGCCGCACCACCCCGCCGUUGACCUCACCCCCGGCCGACGCCUUCCUCCACAUCCUUCUGACCCCAAGGCUGAGGUCGUUCCCGUCUAUCUCCCCUGUGUGUGCGCGUACAUCGUCGGCAAGCGUGAGGAGGGGUUGCCGCAGUUGCUUCUUCGCCUUCUCCCAUCUCACGUCCCCAUCGCCGGACGCCUCGCCACGUCUCUCACCUUGCCCCUCUCCAUGGUGCAUCGCGGAACUAUUUCUGGAGGCCGUCGCCACCGCAUUAGUUGCCGGAUGGUCUUCCCCUGCUCCAUUGCGCUGCUUUUAGGAGACAAUGAUUCCGGAACAGAUGAGUGA